GUGCCAGCAGCCGCGGUAAUACGUAGGCAGCGAGCGUUGUUCGGAGUUACUGGGCGUAAAGAGUGCGUAGGCGGUUUUCUAAGUUUGGUGUGAAAUCUCCCGGCUUAACUGGGAGGGUGCGCCGAAGACUGGAAGGCUUGAGUAUGGGAGAGGUAAGCGGAAUUCCUGGUGUAGCGGUGAAAUGCGUAGAUAUCAGGAGGAACACCUGCGGUGUAGACGGCUUACUGGACCAUAACUGACGCUGAGGCACGAAAGCGUGGGUAGCAAACAGGAUUAGAUACCCCCGUAGUCC
rnacentral:rRNA from 1 species